UGGUUGAGUGAAAUUCCACAA
rnacentral:piRNA from 1 species